rnacentral:misc_RNA from 1 species
GAUGAAGAACGUAGCGAAAUGCGAUAAGUAAUGUGAAUUGCAGAAUUCAGUGAAUCAUCGAAUCUUUGAACGCACAUUGCGCCGCCAGUAUUCUGGCGGGCAUGCCUGUUCGAGCGUCAUUACAACCCUCAGGCCCCCGGGCCUGGCGUUGGGGAUCGGCGGAGCCCCCCGUGGGCACACGCCGUCCCCCAAAUGCAGUGGCGGUCCCGCCGCAGCUUCCAUCGCGUAGUAGCUAACACCUCGCGACUGGAGAGCGGCGCGGCCACGCCGUAAAACACCCAACUCUUCUGAAGUUGACCUCGAAUCAGGUAGGAAUACCCGCUGAACUUAAGCAUAUCAAUAAGCGGAGGA